CCCCCUAUAUUUUUUUGGUUGACCUCGGAUCAGGUAGGAAUACCCGCUGAAGCUUAAGCAUAUCAAUAAGCGGAGGAAAAGAAACCAACAGGGAUUGCCCUAGUAACGGCGAGUGAAGCGGCAACAGCUCAAAUUUGAAAUCUGGCCUUCGGGUCCGAGUUGUAAUUUGCAGAGGAUGCUUUUGGCGCGGUGCCUUCCGAGUUCCCUGGAACGGGACGCCUUAGAGGGUGAGAGCCCCGUACGGUUGGACACCAAGCCUCUGUAAAGCUCCUUCGACGAGUCGAGUAGUUUGGGAAUGCUGCUCUAAAUGGGAGGUAAAUUUCUUCUAAAGCUAAAUACCGGCCAGAGACCGAUAGCGCACAAGUAGAGUGAUCGAAAGAUGAAAAGCACUUUGAAAAGAGGGUUAAAUAGCACGUGAAAUUGUUGAAAGGGAAGCGUUUACGGCCAGACCUUUUCCUGGCGGAUCAUCUGGUGUUCUCACCAGUGCACUUCGCCAGGUUUAGGCCAGCAUCGGCUUCUGUAGGGGGAUAAAAGCAGUGGGAAAGUAGCUCCCUCGGGAGUGUUAUAGCCCUAAGCAUAAUACC
rnacentral:rRNA from 1 species